rnacentral:rRNA from 1 species
GCCCAACUCAUGACAGUCGUACGGUAACAGGAAGCAGCUUGCUGCUUUGCUGACGAGUGGCGGACGGGUGAGUAAUGUCUGGGAAACUGCCUGAUGGAGGGGGAUAACUACUGGAAACGGUGGCUAAUACCGCAUAACGUCGCAAGACCAAAGAGGGGGACCUUCGGGCCUCUUGCCAUCAGAUGUGCCCAGAUGGGAUUAGCUUGUUGGUGAGGUAACGGCUCACCAAGGCGACGAUCCCUAGCUGGUCUGAGAGGAUGACCAGCCACACUGGAACUGAGACACGGUCCAGACUCCUACGGGAGGCAGCAGUGGGGAAUAUUGCACAAUGGGCGCAAGCCUGAUGCAGCCAUGCCGCGUGUAUGAAGAAGGCCUUCGGGUUGUAAAGUACUUUCAGCGGGGAGGAAGGUGUUGUGGUUAAUAACCGCAGCAAUUGACGUUACCCGCAGAAGAAGCACCGGCUAACUCCGUGCCAGCAGCCGCGGUAAUACGGAGGGUGCAAGCGUUAAUCGGAAUUACUGGGCGUAAAGCGCACGCAGGCGGUCUGUCAAGUCGGAUGUGAAAUCCCCGGGCUCAACCUGGGAACUGCAUUCGAAACUGGCAGGCUUGAGUCUUGUAGAGGGGGGUAGAAUUCCAGGUGUAGCGGUGAAAUGCGUAGAGAUCUGGAGGAAUACCGGUGGCGAAGGCGGCCCCCUGGACAAAGACUGACGCUCAGGUGCGAAAGCGUGGGGAGCAAACAGGAUUAGAUACCCUGGUAGUCCACGCCGUAAACGAUGUCUACUUGGAGGUUGUGCCCUUGAGGCGUGGCUUCCGGAGCUAACGCGUUAAGUAGACCGCCUGGGGAGUACGGCCGCAAGGUUAAAACUCAAAUGAAUUGACGGGGGCCCGCACAAGCGGUGGAGCAUGUGGUUUAAUUCGAUGCAACGCGAAGAACCUUACCUGGUCUUGACAUCCACAGAACUUUCCAGAGAUGGAUUGGUGCCUUCGGGAACUGUGAGACAGGUGCUGCAUGGCUGUCGUCAGCUCGUGUUGUG